GAUGAACGCUGGCGGCGUGCUUAACACAUGCAAGUCGAACGAGAAGUGAAGACGGAAACCUUCGGGCGGAAGGCUUUAUUUCUAGUGGCGGACGGGUUAGUAACGCGUUGGUAACCUGCCUCAUACAGGGGGAUAACAGUUGGAAACGACUGUUAAUACCGCAUAAGACCACAGCACCGCAUGGUGCGGGGGUAAAAACUCCGGUGGUAUGAGAUGGACCCGCGUUCGAUUAGCCAGUUGGCGGGGUAACGGCCCACCAAAGCGACGAUCGAUAGCCGAUCUGAGAGGAUGCCCGGCCACAUUGGGACUGAGACACGGCCCAAACUCCUACGGGAGGCAGCAGUGGGGAAUAUUGCACAAUGGGGGAAACCCUGAUGCAGCGACGCCGCGUGAGUGAAGAAGUAUUUCGGUAUGUAAAGCUCUAUCAGCAGGGAAGAAAAUGACGGUACCUGAGUAAGAAGCCCCGGCUAACUACGUG
rnacentral:rRNA from 1 species